rnacentral:rRNA from 1 species
GUAGGUGGCAAGCGUUGUCCGGAAUUAUUGGGGCGUAAAGCGCGCGCAGGCGGUUCUUUAAGUCUGAUGUGAAAGCCCACGGGCUCAACCGUGGGAGGGGUCAUUGGAAACUGGAGAACUUGAGUACAGAAGAGGAAAGCGGAAUUCCACGUGUAGCGGUGAAAUGCGUAGAGAUGUGGAGGAACACCAGUGGCGAAGGCGGCUUUCUGGUCUGUAACUGACGCUGAGGCGCGAAAGCGUGGGGAGCAAACAGGAUUAGAUACCCUGGUAGUCCACGCCGUAAACGAUGAGUGCUAAGUGUUAGGGGGUUUCCGCCCCUUAGUGCUGCAGCUAACGCAUUAAGCACUCCGCCUGGGGAGUAUGGCCGCAAAGGCUGA